rnacentral:rRNA from 1 species
CCUACGGGAGGCAGCAGUCGGGAAUAUUGCGCAAUGGGGGAAACCCUGAUGCAGCGACGCCGCGUGCGGGAAGACGGUCUUCUGGAUUGUAAACCACUGUCCCCAGGGACGAAAAUGACGGUACCUGGGGAGGAAGCUCCGGCUAACUACGUGCCAGCAGCCGCGGUAAUACGUAGGGAGCAAGCGUUGUCCGGAAUUACUGGGAGUAAAGGGAGCGUAGGCGGGGAUGCAAGUUGGGUGUCAAAACUAUCGGCUCAACCGAUAGUCGCACUCAAAACUGCAGCUCUUGAGUGAAGUAGAGGCAGGCGGAAUUCCUAGUGUAGCGGUGAAAUGCGUAGAUAUUAGGAGGAACACCAGUGGCGAAGGCGGCCUGCUGGGCUUUUACUGACGCUGAUGCUCGAAAGCGCGGGUAUCGAACAGGAUUAGAUACCCCUGUAGUC